rnacentral:tRNA from 1 species
GGGGUUGUGGUUCAGUGAUAGAGCGCUCGCCUCGAAUGUGAGAAACACUGGGUUCGAUCCUCAACACCA